GUCAGUGUGGCGUAGUGGUUUGUGUGUUGGACACAACUUUGGAGACCAGGGUUGGAUUCCCUGCUCAGCCA